AUGGCGCGAACUGCUCGAGACUUGAAGAUCUGGAGCUCCUCCCUCUUCAGCAACGCCAAGCUACAAUUCCACAUAGCAACUGAGAUUAUCCUGUGCCUAGAUGUAGCCCAAGAAUCCCGCAACCUCUCCACACCUGGAUUCAAUCUCCGGCGGCUUCUCAAGCAGAGAUUGCUCGGCCUUGCCGCGAUCGAGCGUGCGCGCAAACGUCAAGCACCCCAGCUGACAUGGCUCAAGAGGGGCGACGCGGGAACCAAGUUCUUCCAUGCAAUUUUUUUCUCGCGGCGCAGAAAAAACUUCAUCCACAGCCUGCAGACAAACAACGGGAUUGCCACAGCUCACGAGGAUAAGGCGGCAGUCAUUUUUGAGCACUUCAACUCCGUCCUCGGUUCCAAAGGAGCAUGCCCAAGAUCCAUUGACUGGCGCCAGUUACAGCUGCCCACGAUCUGUGGGGGAGGCCUGGACAAUACAUUCAGUGAAGACGAGGUCUGGGAGGUGAUCAAGGCCUCGUCGGCAGAAAAAGCUCCGGGGCCGGACGGCUUCAUAGGAACUUUCUUCCGUAGUUGUUGGCAAACUAUCAAACAUGACAUCAUGCAGGCAUUCUACUAG
rnacentral:rRNA from 1 species